GAUCUACUUUGGAGAUUAAACCACAAGAAGCCUGAGAACCAAACUGAUUCUUUUUUCCAAAACCUAUUGCUUCUGCAUUCAGAUCAUCAGGUGCUCAAGAUGACUAGGUACACCAUGACUGGCAUCCAUCGCGAGCAUCAAUGGUAUGUAGAUGGCAGCCUGAUGCAUAUAUAUUACCCCUUCUGAGGAGCCUCACUCACUCACCCCAGGGGAAAGAGAGGGAGGCAGAGCAUCAGGAGAAAUAAGUAACUAUCAGUUUCAAUAUGGUUUCCAGGCUCCUCCAUCCUGCCUGAGAGGCCACCAGGUUGGCCAGAAGCAAGUGGGUGUCCUGGGACCCGAGGCAUGAAACAGCUUGAACUUUCCCAUUACCCGAAUGGCUCAACACUUUUAGAACAUUGCUGCAUUGUUCUGCGCCCUUAGGUUUCCGGUUGGCAGGCCAACCCCAGGCGUUGCCAGCAAGCCCAUAGCUAUGAUGAUUCGUCUCACCUCCAGCCAUUCAUCUCCCUGAGUACACCAGGACAUCAUCUCACAGUGUUACUACCCAAGAGAACAGGGGCGGGGCGUGGGGGAAGGGGAUUACAUCAUCAUUAUUAUUGUUAUUCACUUAUCAGAUGAUUAUUAAUUACACUUCAAUUAAAGGCUUGCAGUCUUUACAAGCAUGAGCUCAUCAGACACACAAUGCCCAAAGGAGGUCAAGAACCAGGAGACGGGCUGAUGUGUUCAGGAAUGAGCUGACUUAAGUUGCAGAAAUCCUGGCAUUUGGUUUUUUCCCUCUCUCUCUCCAGUCUAGCAGGUGAGGGUCUCUCAAUCCCCCCACGGAUGUCUCCUGGAGUCUGUCAAAGUGACAAGGAUAGAAUUAGCCCUUCUCAAUACUUCCAUGGAGUUAAAAGGAAAGAAAGCAGAAGAAGCCAGUUCAUGACCAGGAGCUGAGCCGCAGCCAGCUCACCCCCAAGAUAAAUAAGCCCAGGGAGUUAACUUCUUGGGAAUCCAAGGAGCAACAGCUGGCGUGGUGGAUUUUAAAUGUGCAGUGCUCUGUGGAAGGUUCCGGGAAGGUUCUGGCUGGGGAGGUGGUGGGGCAAGGCUUUAGAUAUCAGGAAGUCAUUUUGUCACUGGAGGCCAAAGAACAGGGCCGUGGUGCCCAGAAACAGAAAAUGGUGAGCGGCAUCCAGAGCCCUCAGAAAAGUGCUGCGGCCACAGACAGGAGCGAAGCCCAGGGCAGGAGCCACAGGUGAACCCCUUUGAGGGAUGCAGGUCCCACCCCUGUGACAGCAUCUCUGUGACCUCUCAUCAUACCAAAGCCCCAGAAGACUGUUAAAACCCAGCUCAAACCUGACUCCCCCAGGAAAGGUGUCCCUUUAAAAUAAGUAGCAGGUAGAACAACUGCAUAUGUUUUUUUUUCAUUUCUUUUCUUUCUUUCUCUCUCUCUGUCUCUCUCUCUGUUUCUUCUUUCUUUCUUCCUUCCUUCCUUCCUUCCUUCCUUGGGGAGUGGUAUGGAAAAGGAUGGAAUCUGCUAAGAGGCAGAGGGAGGCACCAGGUCCUUCAGUGAGCCAGACAACCUAUCCCACAGUAGCCACCUCCAACCUGGCUACAAAGUUAAUAAAACCUGAAGGGGAUGGAAAAAGAAGCAGAAACCUGAGGCAGUCGGUCCCUUAUCUUGAAAGAAAAAUCAGUGCUUUAGUUAGCCGGAGAGGUUUGCCAAUUAAAAGGCUCUUGAAAGAAGUGAAUAAAUAAAAUCCCAGUUAGUUCUCCUGUGCUGGGUGGGGAGGGAGGGUCCUGGGGCUUUGUUCUAUAAAGGGCUUGGGCUUUACAGGAUAGGGAGUUAGGGCCUCUGUCCCCCACCCUCCUUCUACUAUCUUUACCCAAUGAGGUUUGUAGUGAUCUAAUCGGGAAGAGAUAAAGCCCAAUUUCCUAAGCUCUGGAGCUGAUAAACACCAAGCCAAAGACAAGCUCUGUUCACAAAGCAAUAAUUAAAGCUCUCAGGAACCCAACCAGUACUGUGGUCAAAAGGACAAGGACAAACUCAUAUUUCUCAAUGCCAUUCUGGGCAGCUGUAAGCACCUCUUGUUGGAAUUUAAUCCAGAGGAAUUAGCAUUAUCAUCAUCCACGUCUUUAUGGAUUCAACUAGACCGUAACAGCACAUGACCAGCCUGGCUACCACCUAACUCUGCUGACCACAAGCACCAAGCAUGCCAUUAAUGUAGCCUUCUGUCGAGAUUCAGCAAAAUAAGCUCUAUUGUAUUUCUUACUGAUCGAGGGUCUAAAUUCUAGGGAUUAUAUGAUUGCCUGUGAAGUGGGGUGCCCUUUUAUUUGUAAAACACGGAUAGCCAGAUAUUACCUGACAGUGCGGGAGUUUCUUAGUUCUGCAGAGCAAGUUCUCUCCCUUGAAGCAUUUGGAAAUAGUAAUGUGCAUGUACUAGGAGAUGUGGGGUCGAAGCAAAGGGAAAGAAUAUGUACGGCCAUGCUUUCUAUACCCAACAGGGUUUUUUCCAGAGUUGUAACCUGGUGAAAGACAGGGAGAGGAUGGGGUCAAUCCUGCUCAGAGUGAGCCAUUCUUUAGGUCCCUUUGAGAACACCAAGAAAUGUCAACAGGAAAUGGACAGGUCUCCAUUUGGAUCAGAGAUAAUCCUGGCUGGAACAGAAAACAGGGCUGUGGGUCUGCCAGCAUUUGGACAGACUGUGAACGUCUUACUAGGAUCAAGAGGAAGACAGGGUCCUGGCUGAGGCAUCAAUGUUUUCUCCUAUUAAAAAAAAAAAAAUCACUGGAAACUGUCUUUUGGAAUGAAAUUUAACUUAGGCUUUGACUAUAGAAAACAGAUAAAUAUGGUAUUUUAUAAGUUUAUUUCAAAUAUUUUUACUUUAAAUGUUUAUCAAAAAGGAUAAUGAGACAACUUUGAUGAGCCUAAGUAUCUGGAAUUAAAUGUCAUGCUUUGCUUCGUAUCAAUCUCUGCAUCCAAGUUAGUUAUUUUAGUUGUCAUUGGUUAUGUUUUGAUUUUAAGAAAGUUUGUGUGUUUCAAAGUCACUAGAAAAUUCUAAUUCACAUAAGUAGAGGCAAAUGGAAAGUAUUUUUUUAAAGCUCUCCUUUCAGUCAUAUUAUGCAUGCCCUCCAAAAUAAACGAAUCUGAAAAGUUGGGCAAGAAGCUUAAGAUAUUUUUAGUUUCAAAAUUUAAUCACAGUAGUUUAAAAAAAAUGGCUUGCCUUCUUCACUACAACUUGAAGGUCAGCAGCAAACAUCCCAGCCUUAUAGUAAAUACUAAAAUAUCUCUGAUAACAUAUGAUGCUGCAUAUAGCACAAUAGCAAUACAUGUGCCAAGGCCACACAUAGAAUGUGAAAGAGUUGGAACUAGAUUUGGAGAAGCAAAAAAGAUGACAUAAUCAGGUCUUCAUUUUAGAGAUAUCACAGUGGCUUUGGUGUGGUAAUGGUGUUGAGAAGGGAUGAUGGAGAGAGUAAGAGGAAGACAGACUAACUCUAACUCAGGAGUUGCUAUGACAAUCCAGGUGAGAGAUGAUGGUAGCCAAAAUAAGCCACAGCACUGUGACAGGAAAGAACACCAGUGCCAACUGAAGAGUCGACAGGACUUGGUUAUGAAUUAGAUGGGGGCUGAGGGAUUGAGGGGCAGAGGAGAAAGAGUUAUGUCAAAUUCUGUGACACUGGCAGUGAAAUGGAUGGGGUUUCUGUUACGAGCGCAAGAACUUCAGGAGGAAGAGGUUGGGAAGGGAGUGGAGGAAACAGAUGCUGAGUUCAGACAGGUUGAGUCUGAGGUUCACGUUAAUAACUACCCACUGCAUCCUUGCAGAGAAGUUCAAGUCCUUGCAAAAAUUGUGCUAAUCGGAGUCCAGCACACAAAAACAAAUCUAUCUUUCAAGAAGCUUGUAACAUACAUGAACAAUCUGAUUAUAAGGCAGAGGUGGCAAUGCUUUUGGGAAGGUAUAUAUCUUUGGAAAAAUAGGGGACGGUAUCUUACAAGGGUUCAUAGGACUUAAAAGAUAAGUACAAUGGGUUUGGGAAGGCUGGGAAGGGAGAGAUACAGUGAAGACAGGGUUAACAACUUGAACCAGACAGGGAGAAGGGGAAUAGACUAAUUCUACUUGUUUGGCUUAAGGUAAAAAUUAGUGAGCGAGAGGUAAGGCUGGAGGGGCACACUGUGGCAGUUGGGGACAACCGUGCCCAUGGUGCUUUACUGCAGAACCUCGCCUCUGUGCAUUGGAAGCCAAUGAAAGGCCUUGACAGGGAAAAGCAUGAGGUCAUGGGAACCAAAUCUGAGGCACAGCCUGCCUCCUUCACUUCUGAGGACGAGAACUUGGGCUGCAGGGGCUGCUGGGAAAGUCAGGUCAUCUAUUCCCCCUCUAUCUCCCCAGGUAAAUGUCACUGUUAGUACAGAGGGAAAUACCAGUGGCAACCGAAAACCACUGGCAGUGAGGCCCCAUGGGUGAAGUCAUUCUCUCUGAGUCACUAAUGCUGCUCUUUAACUUAUUUUGGAAUCUUUGCUUUGUGGUGUGGGGGUGGAUUAAUUGGCAGAAAUUACAGAAGUAGCUAUUACUCCAUCUUGAUUUGGGGAGCCUGGUUCAGAGAUUUUGAAAACUCUCAUUUUACUUUUGGGUUUGUGCCUCAUUCAUAUACUUUUUUAAAGCACCAUCCGAUGUCAUGAGGUGAAGUGCACAUCUUACGUUAAUUUUCCCAAGGAAUGCCUGCGGAGUGGUUUUAUCACCAGGAUAUAAAAAUUGAACUUUUCCCCCAGUAUAAAGCAGGCUGUGGUUUGAUAAAUACCGUGAAUGUAGAGCACAGAAAAAAAGAAAAAGAAAAAAAAAACUUAUUCUGUGCAGGCAACUAUGAAAGUCAUCUCGAU
rnacentral:lncRNA from 1 species